UACGGAGGGGGCUAGCGUUGUUCGGAAUUACUGGGCGUAAAGCGUACGUAGGCGGCUUUGUAAGUUAGAGGUGAAAGCCCGGGGCUCAACUCCGGAACUGCCUUUAAGACUGCAUCGCUUGAAUCCAGGAGAGGUGAGUGGAAUUCCGAGUGUAGAGGUGAAAUUCGUAGAUAUUCGGAAGAACACCUGCGGCGAAGGCGGGUUGCUGGGCCGACACUGACGCUGAGGCGCGAAAGCUAGGGGAGCGAACGGG
rnacentral:rRNA from 1 species